AUACGGAGGAUGCGAGCGUUAUCCGGAUUUAUUGGGUUUAAAGGGAGCGUAGGUGGGAUAUUAAGUCAGCUGUGAAAGUUUGGGGCUCAACCUUAAAAUUGCAGUUGAUACUGGUUUCCUUGAGUACGGUACAGGUGGGCGGAAUUCGUGGUGUAGCGGUGAAAUGCUUAGAUAUCACGAAGAACUCCGAUCGCGAAGGCAGCUCACCGGGCCGGAACUGACACUGAUGCUCGAAAGUGCGAGUAUCAAACAGGAUUAGAUACCCUGGUAGUCCGCACAGUAAACGAUGAAUACUCGCUGUUUGCGAUACACGGUAAGCGGCCAAGCGAAAGCGUUAAGUAUUCCACCUGGGGAGUACGCCGGCAACGGUGAAACUUAAAUGAAUUGACUGGG
rnacentral:rRNA from 1 species